CGGAGUGGCGAAAUUGGCAGACGCACCAGCUUAAGGGGCUGGCGCUCGUAAGGGCGUGUGGGUUCAAGUCCCACCUUCG
rnacentral:tRNA from 1 species